UGCUUGACACCCUUCUAACAAUACCAAAACCACAAGAUGAAAUUAUACAUCACCAGCGCAGACCAUUCAUAAUUAAAGACCUAAGAAUUUGCUUGAAAAUUUUUAGCAAAGCAUUUGCAGUGAAAGCUCAUUAUUCAUGCGAAAACAAGCAUAAUCUUCUACUUUAGCAAGUACUGCAUCUACUUGAAGGAUCAUCUCAAUCUGUGACAGUGGUUUUCAAUAUUCUCCGCCUGUCUAUAUUUUUGGUAUAUGAAGAAGGAGUAAAAAUGCCUGGUCUCCAGAUGCCAUUUUUUCCGUCUCACUGGCAUGUUGAAUAUUUUUGAUACAGCUUAAAUCUCUUUGACCUGGAUGCUCUCCAAACCAUGCGAUAUUUCACGCAUAACGAUAUCUGCGGCAAAGCUGAAUACAAUAUAUUCCUAUUGAAUGUCAUCAAAUCUAUUAGACAGUUGAGUGAGUUUGAAUACGCCAAUAUCUCUUGCGAAUGGAACAUAUUUUCCAAUAGGCUUAUUCAGCGAGCAUGAACAAUAGCAAGGCCUAUGAGAGAAGAGAGGUCUGUCAACAUCAUUACAGUGUAGGCCUAGGCAGUGUACAGUCCUCUCUCAGAUUCGCUGCAUUUAAAGUUGAAAGAUGGCGCUGCUCCAACAAGUGUAUUGCAUCUACCUGGCCAAUGGAUGCAUUUGUCUCAUUGUUUAUAUCUAUGGAAUCACCUGCUUCGAAAGCGAACCGAUCUUUGAUCAUUAUAGGGACGCCGUCGGUCUUCUAGCAAAUGCGUUUCUCAUAACUGCUAUAUUGUUGACAAUUAUUGUUAAACACCACGACUCAAAUGAUGGCGGCAAAAAUAAUACGGUGAAACGUGGCGCUGCAGCGGAAAAGUUGCAACUCCAAGAAAAGUAUAAUUUAGUGGAAUCACUUGAGGCCGGAAACUCAUGGCAGGAUUGUUCACAAUCAAUGGACCAAGCGGUGCUAAACUUUUCCAAUGCGAAUCAUGACGUUCACAAAUAUUCUCACACCGGAAACGGGCAUUCUUUCAGCGCCACCCUGUGGUCAGAAAUGAUAACAAACAAUCGUCUGCUCAUAUUCGGGACAAUGUUGAUCAAUUUUAUCUAUGGAUUACAAAGCUUGUUUAAUUACACUCCGAGAUAUAUGUUAGUGCGAUUACUUUUCUCAUACCCGGAGUUCGUGUUGUUUUUCAUAUACCCGUUCUUCCUUAAUGUUUUACAAAUACUCACUGGCGCUAUGGUUAUGGGAGCAGUGGUAAACCAUGUUCUAAAAAGACAUUCGGAAAACCGACGCAGCGAGAAAUAGACCGGCGGCAAGCCACAGGAGUUUCUGGCGAUGAUGUAAAGAAGAAAGGAUCGAGAAUCAUUCCAUGUCUUCCGAUUUUACAAACAUUUUUAUAUUUUCCAAAUUAUAUCAUUAUACCAUAAAUGUGUCAAUUGGGUCUCAUUACUUUUUAUCAUUUUUCAAGUUGUAUCGUUGAUUCAUGCCACAUUUCUCUGAAAAAAAGUUUCCCGGCAGACCAGUGUACCAGAGAGGCAUUACCAGAGAGCUUCCGCAUCCUGAACCUCAUGGUCUUAUACUCCCUUUAUGUCUUAAUGAGAUGCAAAAACUUUGGUGGUCAAGAUGCGCUAUCCACGAAUCAUGAAUCACGUGAUUGUCACGCGCCUGGGUAUUCACUGUAGUCUUCCCCGUAUACUGUGUCGUUUGUCCCAACGAAUUGACUCUUGGUGUAAAGAUAGUAAACUCUCCA